AUGAACAAGCGACCCCGCGAGGACGAGCCUUCCUCCUCCCUUGCGUCCGCCCAAAAGCGCCAGUUCGGUGCAGGUGGCGGCUAUGGGGAGCAAGGGUACUCGGAGGAGCGGAUCAGUGCGCAGCGGGUGGCGGACCACUACAGUGCCCGGUCGAAUCAGACGCUCGAGGAGCGUGAGAACAGCCCCAUCAUCCACCUCAAGAAGCUCAACAACUGGAUAAAGAGCGUCCUGGUUCAACUGUAUGCACGUCCAGGAGACUGCGUUCUAGAUCUUGCUUGUGGCAAGGGAGGUGAUUUGAUAAAGUGGGAUAAGGCCAAGGUUGGCUAUUAUGUAGGGGUUGAUAUUGCAGAAGGCUCGAUAAAAGAUUGCAUGACCCGUUAUAAUGGUGACUCGGAUCAACAACGAAGGAAGAAGUUCAGUUUUCCUGCACGGCUUAUUUGUGCUGACUGUUACGAGACUCGUCUGGAUGAGUAUCUAUGUGAGGAUGCUCCAUUUGACAUAUGCAGCUGCCAGUUUGCAAUGCACUACUCAUGGUCAACUGAAGCACGUGCAAGACAAGCCCUCGCAAAUAUAUCUGCAUUGCUUCGUCCUGGAGGCACAUUCAUUGGAACGAUGCCUGAUGCUAAUGUCAUUAUUAAAAGGCUAAGAGAAUCUGAAGGGAUGGAGUUCGGGAACAGUGUUUACUGUAUUACCUUUGGUGAAGAGUACACAGAAAAGAAAUUCCCGGCAUCCAGGCCUUUUGGUAUCAAGUACAAGUUUCAUUUAGAGGACGCAGUUGAUUGCCCAGAGUGGGUUGUUCCAUUCCAUCUCUUCAAACUACUGGCAGAGGAGUUUGAUUUAGAGCUGGUUCUAAUGAAGAACUUCCAUGAAUUUGUACACGAGUAUGUGCAAAGGCCAGAGUUUGCUGAUCUCAUGCGAAGGCUGGGGCCUCUCGGUGAUGGACGAUCGGGCCAAAGCACGCUGUCACAAGAUGAGUGGGAGGCAUCCUAUCUCUACCUCGCAUUUGUUUUGCGGAAGCGAGGCCCUCCACCGUCCCAGCGGAGAGCUAACAAUCCUAACAGAGGGAAGACGUUCCUUGCCGAGGAGGACAUCGAGUUUCUUAGCAUAUGA
rnacentral:rRNA from 1 species